rnacentral:rRNA from 1 species
UACGUAGGUGGCGAGCGUUAUCCGGAUUUAUUGGGCGUAAAGAGGGCGCUGGUGGUUUUGUAAGUCGGAUGUGAAAUCUCCUGGCUUAACUGGGAGUGGUCAUUCGAUACUGUGAAACUUGAGAGCAACAGAGGUAUGUGGAAUUCCCGGUGUAGUGGUGAAAUGCGUAGAUAUCGGGAGGAACACCAGUGGCGAAAGCGACAUACUGGGUUGUUUCUAACGCUUAGGCCCGAAAGUGUGGGGAG